UUAAGUAAAUAAAUCUUUAAGAAAGAAAGAGAGAGGGGGGAAGAGAGAGAGAGAGAGAGGUUCCCAACUUUGCUUCCCAUGCGGUAAUGUACUUAAAGCACCGCAGCUCAUUGUCACACACUAGUCAGAAUGUCCUAAAUGCAAAGGCUGAGGACACUUAAGUGUUGGCAAGCAUGCGGAGCAGCUCUGAGCUUCGCGUGUUGCUGAGGGCUAGGAUGCUUGGAAAUCUGUCACUUUCUGCCAGUUAUGUGCUUGUUCUGUGACUUUGCAGUCCCACCACUAGAUGUAAACCCAAGAGAAAUGAAUUUGUCUCCCCAUGAACAAGAUGUAAAAGAACCUUUGUUUAAAAGGCCCAAAGCUGGAGAGCAAUGCCUGUCAGCAGAGGACCUUCUAAUUUAUGGCACAGACACAUGGGGAAUUAUACAGCACGGGAAGGGAAUAAAUUACUGAUUGACCAAAGUCCACGCUUGAAGCCUGAGGACUCCCACCAGAAGGACUGUGCAGGUAGCUCAGUUGGUAGGGUGCUUGUCUAGUGCUUGGGAAGGCUUAGGUCCAGGCUCCAGCCCCAUGUUUAAACAGGCCUGUUUAUACAAGACCCUUUCUCAAAAGAAGAGGAGGAAGAGGGUGGUGACGAGUGGGUGAUGAUGAUGAUGGUGAUGGUGAUGAUGGUGGUGGUGGUGAUGAUGAUGGUGGAGUAGCUCCUUGCUUCUGUGAUGUUGGAGAACAGGCACCGUUGGUGUGGAUGCCUGGGUGGCAGGGUGGUGCAGCAGCAUCAGGACCACCAAGCCUCGGGAUCUGAGGCUGAUCCCUGAAUGCACUUGAUGGUGGAAGGAGAACUGACCUCCAUACUUGUCAAGUGCACCCACACGCACGCCAGUAGGUACGCACACAGGCAUGCAGUGAGUGUUUACAAAAGUCAAGAAAAACUGACGAUCAGAUUAACAGUGGAUAACCUGGAAACUUGCAGAGUGCAGAGGACAGCAUAUGGCAAGCUGGAAAAUGCUCCGUGUUUUAGUUCGGGUUUCUAAUGCUGUGAUAAAACACCAUGGCCAAAAAGGAGGAAAGGGGUUUCCUUCAGUUAGACUCCAUCAUUGAAGGAAGUCAGUGCAGGAACCUGAAGUCGGGAACUGACACCGAGGCCAUGAACAAGUGCUGCUGGCCGGCUCGCUCCUCGUGGGUUUCUCAGUCUGCUUUCUUACCACUUAGGACCACCCUCCCGGGGUUAGAACAAUCACAGUGGGUUGGGCCCUCCCCUGUCAAACAUUAAUCAGAAAAUACCCUAUAGAUUUGUUUACAGGUCAGUCUGAUGGAGGCACUUUCUCAGUUGAGGCUCCUCCUUCCAGGUAGCUCUAGCUUGUGUCACGUUGACUGAAACUCAGGAUUUUUGUUUUUGUUGUUUUAGAUUUAUUUUAUGUUAUGUUUAUGGGUGUUCUGCCUGCCUGCAUCUAUAUGUGUCAUGUAUAUGAGUGGUAUGUAUGGAGGUCAGAAAAAGGCUCUCAAUCCACUGGAACUGUAGGAAUAGCUAUGAGCCACCAUGGGUGCUACAAACUGAACCUGGAUACUUCAAAAGAGCAACAGCCUCUGGUAACUCAAUAUUUAAAGGUGUGUAAAACACAUGUGUUUGAAUUUGUACAAAUUCUCCAAGCAGUUGCAUAAGAUUGGUAUGCUUUGCACAUUUAAGUAUGAAUAUCAUUUCUUAAAACAACAACAACAACAAAAACCAAGCUAACAUUACUAGAUUAAGAUAAAGUAGAAAGUAGGACUUUUGUUUUGUUUUGUUUUUGAGUCAGGGUCUUACUAUGUAGCUUGGGCUAGGCAAGAAUUUGCUAUUUAGACCAGGCUGGCUUUCAAACUCAAGAAAUCCACUUGCUUCUGUCUCUUGAGUACUGGAAUUAAGAAUUUAGAAAAUUUUUAAAAUUCAGCCGGGCACACGCCUUUAAUCCCAACACUUGGGAGGCAGAGACAGGUGUAUUUCUAAGUUCCAGCACAGCCAGGGCUACACAGAGAAACUCUGUCUUGAAAAAAACCAAAAACCAAAAAACAAAAUUCAUUCAGAGUUAACAGGUGACCAAAUGAGCAAAGGUCAGGGAAGAAAAGAAACAACCCGGCAGAUGCACACACAGCACAGAUACACACGCACAUGUGCACACACGUGCACAGUACACUCAAACACCAGUUAAGACCCAGUAAAACAAAGAAAAAAAGAGGACGGUUUUGUGAAUAAACAAGACACACACCUAAUGAGAAACCUGAACAAAAGAAGAGAGAAUGGGGAGCGGUGAUAUAGAGCAGCAGAAGGAGGUGUGGCCUCACUAACAGGUGAUAUAGAGCAGCAGAAGGAGGCGUGGCCUUAUUGGCACAGGCAGGCAAGAAGUGCAAGCUAACAAAUAUUUGAAAGAGUGAAAAGUUGGGCCAGGAGAGGUGGCUCAGUAGUUAAGAGCAUGUGCUGCUCUUCCGGAAGACCUGAGUUUGGUUCCCAGGAUCCGCAUCAGGCGACUCACCACCUCCACUGGCCACUCCAGCUCCAGACAACGUAACAUUGACUUCUGUGGGCAGCCACACUCACAAGCACACACCAUGUGCAGACAAAUGCACUGAUGCACAUAAUGAAAAGUAAGUUUAAAUUUCCAAGAGUGAAAAGUCUGUUUAGAAAGUUUAGCCCACCUACAAGAUAAUAGUCAUCAUGAAACUGCAUGCAUUUACAGUAUCAUAUCAGGUCUGUGAAGCCGUAGGUAGCUGUUUGAAACACAAGAGCAUAAAGCCACAGGAUUGGCGAUAUUAACAAACUGCAAGAUUUAAUAAACCAACAGGCAAAAGAGUUCAUGGGAAAUAAUUAGAUAACAAAGAACACACUUGUUUUUGUAUUAAUAAAUAGAAUUUGGUACACAGAGAACAGACUGUUUAGUUGUUCAGCACUGUUGGUUCACUUAUAAGACAUUAUGUCAUUUGUUCACCAAGAAAAAUGUCCCAAGCCCAAGAGGCAGAAAUCAUAUUAUCCUCCUUCUCCACGAGGCGGUAGAAUGAACUUACAACCAGAAACUCUGUGAGAGCCUCAUAGAAUUCAAACACAGUGCCUUUUCUUUACCGUGUUAGGAUUUUUCUCAUGUUUGGCUUCUUGAGAUGAUUUAUUUAUUUUCAUCCGUGUUUUUAUUAAGAGGAACUAGAAAAGAAAGGUAAGGAGCACUGCCUGCUGUAGUCCCUCGGAAGAGAUGCCUGAGAUGAGGAAGUGGUGACUCAGGCUCAAAACUCCACACACAUAGCCAUAGUUUCCCAAACAGGGCUUACCAGUUCCCUCUCAGGGUGGCCACUCAGAUCGCCUUCAUUUCCGUAUAUUCAGUACCACAGCUAGACUUUUCUUUUCUUUUCUUUUUUUUUUUUUUUUUUUAAGUCAGGGGUCUCAUGCUGCCCAGGCUGGCCUAAAACUGACUGUGUAGUUGAAGCUGUCCUUGAACUCCUGAUGCUGCUGUCCUGUCUUUACCUCCCGAUUCUUAUAUCACACCUGCACAUCAUUCCACACCCAGUAGAAAUGCUUGCUCGUUCCUCCCCCUGGUCAUGAUUGUGAAAACAUUAGUUGUGCUUGCACAGGUAUGUCCUAGUUUGUUUUUUGUUCUGGUAAUAAAACACUGACCAAGGGCUGGAGAGAUGGCUCAGCGCUUAAGGAUACCAGCUGCUCUUCCAGAGGGCCAGGGUUCAGCAACCAAGUGGAGGCCCACAACUCUCUGUUAACUCUAGUUCCAAGGACUCUGAUGCCCUAUCUAGUUUCCACUGGAAUUCACAUGGUAUGCACACAUACAUGCAAGCAGAACACUCAUGCAUAAAAUUUAAAACAACAACAAACACAGGCCAAGAGCAACUUGAGGAGGAAAGAAUUUAUUACAGAAUCUCACAGGUUACAAUAUUCUCAUCAAGGGAUGUUAGGGCCCUUGGCUUCCUCAGCUACCUUCUUUAUACUGCCUAAGCCUACCUGUCUAGGGAAUGGCACCACCCACAGUGGGCUGGGCCCUCCUAUGUCAAUUAGCAAUUGAAAUGCUUUAUAGGCCUGCCCACAAGUCAAUCAAGACCACUGCUCCAUUGACCUCUUCCCAGAUGGGUCGGAGGAUACCAUGUGAGUCAGUUCUCCUACUCUGAAAGUGCCAGGCAUCAAACGCAGGUCGUCGGGCUUGAUGGCAAACACCUCUACCCACUGAGCGCCUCCGUCUCUUUACCUUGACCUUGCUGGUUGAUUUUUACGUGCCCUUUCUAUGUUACAAAUAUUAAUUCUUUGUCAUGCUUGUAAACAUUUCCUCCUUUUCCUUGCCUUUUGCAUUGCUUAAUAAAUAAAAUUAUUAUACAAUCAUUUCUAUAAUUUUUCUGAUAUUCCUUUUUUCUAUUAAGAGGUUCCUUCUCUAUAAUUUUUUAAUAGUCAUAAUAAUAAUUACAGUUACGGCUAACACUUACUAAGCCUGAUGAGAUGUUGGGCAAUGAGCACAGCCCCCUUUUGAGUUGAGGAUUUUUACUUUUAUUUUGAUUUGGUUUUUAAUCUUCUCGCAAUUGAGAAAGAAACUAAGAGUGAUUCGUUUGUCUGUGAACAUGGAGCUGGUGAUGAGUAUUCUCCAGGGUUUCUUUUAGCUCUUUUUUUUUUUUGUCUGUCUGUCUGUUUGUUUGUGUAUUUAACACGCACAGUUUACUCCACGCCCCCCCCCAUCCUCCGGCUGUUCCACAUCCCAUAUCCCGCCUUAUCCCGCCUCCAUGGGGAUGUCCCCACCCCCCUUAUUUUAGCUUUUAUAUUUAACUUCUUGAGCUACAGUCUGUGAAGUUGCAUAGGUGACUCUGACUCUCCUCUCAGACAUUGUCAAGCAUGUCCUUCAAUGAAUAAAUCAUUGUUUGUCAUCCUUCUCAUAUCUUCUUUUAUAUUAAAAUUUAAUGUACAACCAAGGUCUCUUUCAGAGAUGUCCAUUCGGUUCUUAUUGACCUGUGCACUCUUACAUGGGAGCCACUGUGUUUUAAUUGUGGUGUCUUCAUGAUGAAAUUUAAUAUGUAUGAACCAGGAAUCCCCCAUCACUCUCUUAAAGAUUCAUUCAGCAUGCUGGUUUCCAGUGCUGAUGGAGAAGCUAGUGUCAGAAUAAUAUUCCCAACCAUGAAACGCUCGAGAUUUGGAAAGAAAGUAUUUUUAAAAGAUUGAAGGUACUAAAAAACCACCAAAGGUAAGUAUACAUUUGAAUAGGUUUGAUUCAUGAAGGCAGAAGACUGUCUAAGAAGCCACUUUCGGGGGACUUCUUGAAGCAUUCCCUCCACCAUCUGAGUGAGAAGACAGAACUCAAGCAGAAAGCUGAGUUAUUCAUCUGAACUGGGGAUAAGCUUUAAGUCUGACGCGGGACUGGGGCUUGAACGGAGAGUCAAAUGUGAGAGCUGUGAAGGUGACAGCCCACAGUCUUGCCCGGUGGCCUGCCUGUGCAUCUUGGAAGCACCACCAAGCCCAGUAGGGACCUUAGGGAUAGCCACUCUUGGAGAGGCAGAAUUCAGGGUCUGGGCAUUGUCAAGGCCACAGAGGUGGGCUCUUAAACCCCAAAAGGGACACUCCUGAGUUAGCCAACUUGAAAGAGAAGCCAGGAUCUCAUCAGCUUUCCUUCAUUCAAAAUUAGAAUCUACUGGAAGGGAACAGAAUCCCGUGAUCUUUGCCAAAGCAGAAAGCUUUUUGAUAUUAGCAUACCUAGGACUAACGAGAGCUUUGAAAGAUGUUAAAGAAUUUACAUCAAAGUGAAUGAAAGGAUGAGUCUGACCGGGUUGGGGCCCAGUGAGAUAGGGGCUCAUUGCUAGGGGUUCAUUGCCAGGGGCUCAUUGCUAGGCUUGACCCCGAGACCCACAUGGUGGAAGGAGAAAAUCAACUGUGCAAGUUGUUUCUGACCUCUACGUGUGGUCCCAACACAUUAACAUAGACAUAAAAUAGAUUCACAUUGAAAAGAAAAUUCAUCUCUGUCUAGUGCCAUCCUCCUUGAAACUUGUGCCCCAGGAGAGGAAAUGGCAGAAGACGCAAAUUUACAGGCUGAAGCAUAAGAGAAGGAUGAGGCCGAGGUCGAAGUAAACCAGCCUGUGCCCCGACCAAGCCUGGGGGAGCAGAAGGAAAGGAUGCCUCGGGCUGGGACGCUGGUACAAGUUGUUGGACUGUGUGCUGUGUCUGUGCAGGUCUCAGUGGACCUGGAAAACCAUCUCACCAAGAUCACCCAGGAAGCCGACUGCCUCCCUACAACCAAGACAGUCCCACUCUCUCUGCCUUGGACCGUUGGCAUUCUGGACUGGUUGGUUCUGUUCUCACUUGUGUCCAAGUGUAAGUUAUAUACAAUAAACCAUCUUUCUCACUGUCUCAGAUGAAGACAAAGGAAAAGGAAAAAAAAAAAAGGAAACCAACUGGGUGAGUUUGGCAGCAGAUUGGACACACAGAAGAAAGGAUCUGUGAUUCUGAAAACAGGCAGUAGAGAACACCACAGAGAAAGUACACAGAGGGAAGAUAGAUUGGGAAUGUAGGACUAGAUAUUGCCCAAAGUCAUGUUGACUGUCAGGGUAAUUUCAGUCCCCCAAACGGAAGAGGAGUGGGGCAGAAAAAGUUACGUGAAGUUGUGAUUAAAAACAAAACCACAUGAAGAGAAGUCCAGGAAGUGUGGCGGGACAUGACAGGACCACAUGUGUGCUUAGAACUUUUAGUUACUUUCUGUGCCUGAGUGUGGCAGUCAAAAGACAGCUCAUGAAAGUCAGUUCUUUUCUCCUACCAUAUGGGUGCUGGCAAGGAACUCAUGUCAUAAGGUUUGGUGGGAAGCACCCUUACCAUCACCAGCCUGCUAUCACCAUUUUGAGGAUACUUACUACUCAAUGUCUGCCUUGGUUUCUGAUUUUUGAGUCAACCAUAGUUCUGGUCAUUGUUCCCUUUGUCUUUAUUAUUCAUGUAUGUAUGUAUGUAUGCAUGUGUAUAUAUGUGUGUGCAUGUAUAUAUGCAUGUAUGCAUACAUGCAUUAUGUAUGUAUAUAGUUUAGGGGUGCUGAGGCACAGUGUUUGCACAAACAAGGCGCAUGCUCUACCACUAAGCCAUACCUCCAGUCCUAACAAGCAGAGCGGCACAUCCUGGCAAGACAUUGAGACUGCUGAGCCGAGCUGCAUGUUCUAGGAGGAGCAGAGUGAGUGAAGAACCCCAAAUCUUUGCCUUACUGAGCUUGCAUCCCAAUGGCAAGGAGGAAGCGAGCCGCAGCGAGCACAGUAAAGUUCAGAGUCAGUGUGGGCAGAGUAAGGGCACUAGACUUCUCAGGAAUGAUCAGGAAAGGCCCUGUAAAGUGACAUUUUGAGAGACACUUGAAGAAAUGAGGAAGCAAACCUCAUGCAUUUUUAGAGAGAAAGAAUUCUAUGAAAAGGGAAGGACUGGUGCCCGAGGAAGAAGUCGUAUGGAGUGAAUUCCAGGAACAGGAAAGCGUGCUGUACGGACAGGGUAGGCAGUGGUUCGAGGCAGGCUCGCUGUGCUUUAGGAGGAUUGCUCCCUCUGAGGAGUUUGGACUUGUUCUGAAGACUUUGGGAAUCAUCAGUUUUACACAGAUGGGUGAUGCUUUAGUAGGCUCAACCUGACGGCCAUGUCAAGAAUAGACCGUUGCUGGUGCACGCCAUUAAUCCCAGUGCUUGGGAGGCAGAGGAAGGCAGAUCUCUGAGUUUGAGGCCAGCCUUAUCUACAGAGUGAGACCUUGUCUUUAAAGAUUAAUAAUAGUAAUAAUAACAAUACUACCCCCACCAGGAAGACAAUAAUUGUCAUUGCAGAGAUGAUCUGAUGUUCACUAAAAUAGAAUGGAAAAAAACCAAACCAAACCAACCAAACAGCAGAAACACGCCCCACCCAAGCUAUUUAAUAACUAGGAAAGAGAAGAUAGCAACUAUAUCAAGAAACCCAUUGCAAGCUACCAUAAAAAACAAUAGACAAAAUCACACCAAAAA